GAACUGCGAUAAGUAAUGUGAAUUGCAGAAUUCAGUGAAUCAUCGAGUCUUUGAACGCACAUUGCGCCCCCUGGCAUUCCGGGGGGCAUGCCUGUCCGAGCGUCAUUGCUGCCCUUCAAGCCCGGCUUGUGUGUUGGGUCGUCGUCCCCUCCGGGGGACGGGCCCGAAAGGCAGCGGCGGAACCGCGUCCGGUCCUCGAGCGUAUGGGGCUUUGUCACCCGCUCGAUAAGGACCGGCCGGGCGCCAGCCGGCGUCUCCAACCUUUUUUUCUCAGGUUGACCUCGGAUCAGGUAGGGAUACCCGCUGAACUUAAGC
rnacentral:misc_RNA from 1 species